UUAUUUUCCGAAAAACCGGUUGAGAAAUUAACCCAGCUACUCCCCUCCCCCUACAGGCGCUUAUUGGCGGGAUACUUCAAAAUGAAUAUCUAGACACUCGAAACAAUAUAUACAUCGAUUUCAGUAUCGCAAUAUUCAAUACUCGAUACUUUCCAGAACUGUAUCACGGCACAAGAUAAAAAUUGUAUUUAAGAUACUAUUGUAUCGAUCCUCAAUCCUGGCUGCAAGUUACAAUUAACAAUGUAUUGUAUGCAAUACAUCAAAUAAUAGCUAGGUAUCUAAAUGCUAAAGAAAUAAAUGUAUUCAAUUUAAUUCGAAUAGAGCUAUCAAUUGUACAAUUGCAACAUAUUAAGUACUAUUAUAACUAGUAUAAUUAUUAUUUGAGUAAAUAGAUGACGUAAAAAAUCUUUAAAUAAAACACGAUCAGGAUUCAGUGGGUACCUAUUACACAGUAUUGACUGUCGGUGUUACGUAAUACUUGCAUUUUGUUAUGUAAUUUAUUAUUUACAUUUUUUUUAAAAUUUAUUAUACUACCAAGUUGUAUUAUUGAUAAACGAUUAAAAAUGAUUCGUAAAGCCUAUAAUUAGACACUACAAUUACUAUAGCGUUAUGCUUAUCACAUUAUAGAACCUAUGUUAGUUUUUACUAAAUAAUAAACAGUAUAUAUAUAUAUUUAUAUAUAUGUUCAAUGUGUGUAUAAUAAAAAAAAUAAUGAUCAUGUAGAUCAUGUAAGUGCUAAAGAGCACCCAUUACAUUUACUCGGCGAUUACAAUAAUUAAGUAGGGACCUAUGUUCGGUUUUAUUUCCUUUGGGAACAAUAGGUAUUAAAAAAAUAUUAUACUAUUGGUACUUAAUAUCUACCCACGGUAACAAAACCGUCUUCAAAUAUCAUCGUGUAUUCGAAGACGUAUGUUUGCCGAAAAAUCGUUUCGUAUAAAAUAUAGUGAUUUUAGGAACACAUUUGAUUGAUAUAUGGUUUUACUACCAUUUCAAUUUAUAAGCUGAUAAAAAAAUAUCAUUUCGUUUGAUGGGUAGGUUAGAUUAUUAAUAAUUAGGCAGAUAAAUAGCUGCCAGUGGCAAAAUAAUGGGGGAUCUGGGUGAUUAAUCCCCCCGAGCCUUUAAACAUAAAUACAAAUUUAAAUAGUUUUUGUUAAAUUUAAACACAUAAAAAUAUUUGCAGAAAACGAUUUCUCAGGUAUAUUUAUAAAAGAAAAUUAGAAUACUAGGAUACUCGUAUAAAUUUUCCGCAACUA